GACGAACCGAGCGAACGUUGUUCGGAAUCACUGGGCUUAAAGGGCGCGUAGGCGGGUGCUCAAGUCCGGGGUGAAAUCCUCCAGCUCAACUGGGGAGGGUCAUUCGAUAAUGAUCGACUCGAAGGCAGGAGAGGGUAGUGGAAUUCCCGGUGUAGUGGUGAAAUGCGUAGAUAUCGGGAGGAACACCAGUGGCGAAGGCGACUACCUGGCCUGUUCUUGACGCUGAGGCGCGAAAGCUAGGGGAGCAAACGGG
rnacentral:rRNA from 1 species